rnacentral:rRNA from 1 species
GACGAACGCUGGCGGCGUGCUUAACACAUGCAAGUCGAACGGAAAGGCCCUGCUUUUGUGGGGUGCUCGAGUGGCGAACGGGUGAGUAACACGUGAGUAACCUGCCCUUGACUUUGGGAUGACUUCAGGAAACUGGGGCUAAUACCGGAUAGGAGCUCCUGCUGCAUGGUGGGGGUUGGAAAGUUUCGGCGGUUAGGGAUGGACUCGCGGCUUAUCAGCUUGUUGGUGGGGUAGUGGCUUACCAAGGCUUUGACGGGUAGCCGGCCUGAGAGGGUGACCGGCCACAUUGGGACUGAGAUACGGCCCAGACUCCUACGGGAGGCAGCAGUGGGGAAUAUUGCACAAUGGGCGGAAGCCUGAUGCAGCAACGCCGCGUGCGGGAUGACGGCCUUCGGGUUGUAAACCGCUUUCGCCUGUGACGAAGCGUGAGUGACGGUAAUGGGUAAAGAAGCACCGGCUAACUACGUG